AGAAAAUAGAUACCCAGGUAGUCCACGCCCUAAACGAUGUCAACUGGUUGUUGGGAAUUCAUUUUCUCAGUAAACGAAAGCUAAACGCGUGAAGUUGACCGCCUGGGGAGUACGGCCGCAAGGCUAAAACUCAAAGGAAUUGACGGGGACCCGCACAAGCGGUGGAUGAUGUGGUUUAAUUCGAUGCAACGCGAAAAACCUUAACCCACCUUUGACAUGUACGGAACUUGCCAGAGAUGGCUUGGUGCCCGAAAGGGAGCCGUAACACAGGUGCUGCAUGGCUGUCGUCAGCUCGUGUCGUGAGAUGUUGGGUUAAGUCCCGCAACGAGCGCAACCCUUGCCAUUAGUUGCUACGAAAGGGCACUCUAAUGGGACUGCCGGUGACAAACCGGGGGAAGGUGGGAUGACGUCAAGUCCUCAUGGCCCUUAUAGGUGGGGCUACACACGUCAUACAAUGGCUGGUACAGAGGGUUGCCAACCCGCGAGGGGAGCUAAUCCCACAAAGCCAGUCGUAGUCCGGAUCGCAGUCUGCAACUCGACUGCGUGAAGUC
rnacentral:rRNA from 1 species